GUGAGCGCCCAGGGGGAUCCCCGCGCCCAGGCCCGCUCCCAGCGCCUCCGCUCCAGCGAUGGGCCCCCCCGAGCUGCGCCCGGGUGACUCCGGGCCCGGCCCGGACCAGACGCUGCCGCCGCCGCUGUGAGCCGGCCCCGGCCCCGGCUGGGAGCUGCUGCCCCCGGGAGAAUAAACCAUCCCGCAUUCAGACUGGUCCAGAAGCAACCCUGCAGACCCACCUCCUUGUAUUUGAGGCUGAGAAAUCCAGAAAAGAAAACCGUGUUGUGUUUUUAGAAACUAGAAAGGAACUCUUCCCGAAGCCCACAUACAAAUGAACUUUUAAUUUGCUCCUUUCAUAUUUAAGGGGACAGAAUAAAAACUGGUCCUAGUUCCCAGGGAAAUCAUGUCUUGUUUCUACUAAUCUGGAAUAUAUCUGGGGAUGGGCACUAUCUAAAAUCAAAUUUUGCCUACUACAAAUCUGUAAAAUGCAAAAGGUUGGUUUAUAGAAUUUUCUAUAUCGUUUCAUUAUUUGUUUUGGAUAAAGAAAAUAUUAAAAAUCUUCAGUA